GACAGAGGCCCCAAGCGUUAGGCGGAAUCACUGGGCUUAAAGCGUGUGUAGGCGGACGCCUAAGUGUCUUGUGAAAUCCCACGGCUCACCCGUGGAACUGCUGGGCAUACUGGGCGUCUUGGGCCAACUAGGGGCAGCCGGAACAAGCGGUGGAGCGGUGAAAUGCGUAGAUAUGGCUUGGAACGCCGAAGGUGAAAACAGGCUGCUGGGGUUGUGCCGACGCUGAGGCACGAAAGCCAGGGGAGCAAACGGG
rnacentral:rRNA from 1 species